GACGAACGCUGGCGGCGUGCCUAACACAUGCAAGUCGAACGAAAAGGCCCUGCUUUUGUGGGGUGGUCGAGUGGCGAAGGGGUGAGUAACACGUGAGUAACAUGUACCUGUCUUUGGGAGAUCUUAAGGAAACAGGGGAUCUUACCGCAUAGGAGAUUCUGCUGCAUGGUGGGGGUUGGAAAGUUUCGGCGGUUGGGGAUGGACUAGCGGAUUAUGCGCUUGUUGGUGGGGUAGUGGCAUACCAGGUCUAUGAAGGGUAGGACGCCUAGGAGGGUGACCGGCCACAUUAGGACUGAGAGACGACACAGACCCCAACGGGAGGCAGCGGUGGAGAAUAUUACACAGUAGGCGGAAGUCAGAUGUGACAACGCCGCGUGCGGGAAGACGUGCUACGGGUGGUAAACCUAUGUCGCCUUAGACGAGGCGAUAGUGACGGUAACGGGUAAAGAAGCACCGGCUAACUACGUG
rnacentral:rRNA from 1 species